CUACGGGAGGCUGCAGUGGGGAAUCUUGUGCAAUGGGCGAAAGCCUGACACAGCAACGCCGCGUGCGGGAAGAAGGCCUUCGGGUCGUAAACCGCUUUCAGCAGGAACGAAAAUGACGGUACCUGCAGAAGAAGGUGCGGCCAACUACGUGCCAGCAGCCGCGGUGACACGUAGGCACCAAGCGUUGUCCGGAUUUAUUGGGCGUAAAGAGCUCGUAGGCGGUUCAGCAAGUCGGGUGUGAAAACUCUGGGCUUAACCCAGAGCCUGCACCCGAAACCGCUGUGACUAGAGUUCGGUAGGGGAGCGGGGAAUUCCUGGUGUAGCGGUGAAAUGCGCAGAUAUCAGGAGGAACACCGGUGGCGAAGGCGCCGCUCUGGGCCGAAACUGACGCUGAGGAGCGAAAGCGUGGGUAGCAAACAGGAUUAGAUACCCGGGUAGUC
rnacentral:rRNA from 1 species